AGUCCGUGAACAUUGCACGGAAUUCUGUGAGAUCAUGUUGGACAGAGACUGCUGGCAGCUUGUUGUGUUUUCCUCAGAAUGCGAUGCUUUCUUCCCCUCCAUCGUUUCUAAUCUCCGUAUUAUUACAGGUGCGUGUCACGUUAUUCAUGUCACAAGCGCAUGCGCACUUUGGUCAGAGCGGCAAUACUGCGAUUAAGGUGUUUACAUGCCUGUAUAUUCCGAUUAAAAUCGGCGUACGCCACCUAUGUUAAUACGAUUAUGCUUGCUGCGAUUAUGAGCUUAAUCGUAUUAUUUAGAUCGAAGUAUUGCGUUUACAUGAGGUAAAGCAUAAUCGCAAUAUCGCCAAAAUCUCAUUAUAAUCGCAUUAAGAGGGUCCAUGUAAACGCACUCACAGUUUCAAACAUUUUUGGUACAGCAUGCACAGUAAAAUCUCCAGUGUUGAAAUCCCAGUGUUAAGGACUUUUAGAGUAAAGAGUUAAAGUUGUGGUGUUGAAUUUUAAAGGAUUAACACUAGCUAGUGUAAACAGCACCCUCUGGCCGGUGUUAAUACGGAGAAUUACCCUCAUUAACACUGUUGAGAGUUAUUAGUGACAUCCGGGACAUUUUCUCGUGUGCGAGCCUAAUCUGUCUGAAAUAUUUUUCACAGACGCCAUUUUAUUUGCUCGCGAUGCGGAGCAUAUUAGGACGGAAAACAGCGAUAUAAAGUGUUUAAUCCUACUCACAAAGUGUGUUUUGUAAUAUCAUAUCGUUUUAUAAUAAUUUCAAUGUGUUGGGUGCGCCUAAAAACGUUUAUCAAUGGCAUUUCCUUUCACUCGCGAUGCGGAACAGACGAGGACUUUUCUAAAAGGGAAUAUCCGAAAAGAGAUAUUUUCUUUCUCUCGCGGUGCGAGCAGACGGGGAAGUUGGUUUUAACAAGGAAAACGCUGAAAAGAGAUAUUUUCGUUCAUGAGGAAGUUGGUUUUAACGAGGAAAACGCCAAAAAUGGUUCAUGCUGGCUUAACAGAAAAAUCAAAAGAAGAUGAUGUGCUUGAAGAGUAUGAAGCCACCAAUACAUGGGAGUCGUCCAACCUCAGUGCAGAGAGAUCAAUGUGCACUUGGAAUUGUGACUUUGUCUCUGUCGUUAGAAGACCCAUUUUCUAGGGCAGUUUUGUGAUGCUGUAAAUAGGAGUGGAUAUCUUGCUUGGCUGAAAACUGCAGAGAAACGCAUCUCAUCGUGCUGAAAAAAAGAAUGAGAGUAUUCUCUCCAAGGAGGUCCAAACACCAGCAUAGACUUUGAUUAGUGAGCAUUAACAUGCAUUCAGCUUUUAUGGUAAUGAAUGGAAUGCUGUUGUUUAACCUCCUAAAUGUCAGCAUUAUAAACCUUAUGACAUUAAUGGACCAAAUAAGAAUGUUUUUUGU